rnacentral:rRNA from 1 species
GAUGAACGCUGGCGGCGUGCCUAAUACAUGCAAGUCGAGCGAAUGGAUUAAGAGCUUGCUCUUAUGAAGUUAGCGGCGGACGGGUGAGUAACACGUGGGUAACCUGCCCAUAAGACUGGGAUAACUCCGGGAAACCGGGGCUAAUACCGGAUAAUAUUUUGAACUGCAUGGUUCAAAAUUGAAAGCCGGCUUCGGCUGUCACUUAUGGAUGGACCCGCGUCGCAUUAGCUAGUUGGUGAGGUAACGGCUCACCAAGGCAUCGAUGCGUAGCCGACCUGAGAGGGUGAUCGGCCACACUGGGACUGAGACACGGCCCAGACUCCUACGGGAGGCAGCAGUAGGGAAUCUUCCGCAAUGGACGAAAGUCUGACGGAGCAACGCCGCGUGAGUGAUGAAGGCUUUCGGGUCGUAAAACUCUGUUGUUAGGGGAGAACAAGUGCUAGUUGAAUAAGCUGGCACCUUGACGGUACCUAACCAGAAAGCCACGGCUAACCACGUGCCAGCCGCCGCUGUAA